UAAUGUGCUCUGACGAUGAACUGGGCUUUGCCUUUUGACUUGCGUUGGCCAAUGGGACACAGGCAAAUGUCAUGCAAAUACAGAUUCAAAAAGUAUUUGCCUAAUGGUGCUUGUCUUCUUGGACACAGUCAAAUUGUGAAGAAUCUUGGGGCUACCUGCUGGAAACACAGUGCCUAACAGAGAGCCAGCACAAAUCACAAGACAUGUGAGUAAAGCCAUCUUAAGCCAACCAGCCUCAGUCAAGGCACCAGGUGACUCAACUGUCACUCGUGAUCCAAGCAACACUAACAUAGAAUAUGAACUGCCCAGAUGAACCCACCACAAAAUACAGAUCCAUAGAAGCUUGAACAAAGAAAAUGGUGGUGGUUUUUUAAGCCACUAAGGUCUGAUUACUUUCUUAUAAAGCAAAUGCUAACUGAUACAUCUAAGCCGCCAGAACUUGAUAUAUAUCUAAGAAAAUUAUGUGGGGAAGAAAGUUUUAAUGUGUAUGUCAAAUACAAUCAACACCACUUUGGAAGCACACAAAGAAAUUUUGAAAAUCACAAUGAAUAUCAAAUGGAUGGAAUUCAGUGAGGUAGGUGGCUGGUGCUAAUAGAGACCGUGUGAAUCAUACAAAGCAACUGUUUGCACAUCAGAAAGCCGUCUAUGUUUUAAAGUUUUUACAUCAUAAAAAAGUUUGUUUACUUUAAAAAACACAAAACAUAAAAAGAGUCUGUUACAAGGGAGCAUUGUACUUCAUUUUAUUAAAUUUUAAGAAAUAGGUUUGGAGAAGCAGUAUGACAGUCUAAUUUUCCCAUAUUAAUGUCAAAUAAUCUCCCAUUAUUUUCAUGCAGAAUUUAUGAUUUUUAAGAACAUAUUACUGACAUUAAGUGGGAAACACUUGUGUUUCCUCAAAUGAAACUCUUUGAAGUCACAUAAUCCAUAGAAAGUGUUGGGGAUAAAAAAGGAUAGGGAUGUUUAAGGCAAAAUAUUUUAAAGCAAUGUUUGUUCUAUGCUGUCAGUGUUGCAAAAAUAAUCUCAAAAGUAAACAAACACGGCCGGGUGCAGUGGCUCACGCCUGUAAUCCCAGCACUAUGGGAGGCCGAAGUGGGCGGAUCACAAGGUCCGAAGAUCGAGACCAUCCUGGCUAAUACGGUGAAACCUCAUCUCUACUAAAAAUACAGAAAAUUAGCCAGGCAUGGUGGCGAGCGCCUGUAGUCCCAGAUAGGAGGCUGAGGCAGGAGAAUGCCAUGAACCCGGGAGGCAGAACUUGCAGUGAGCCGAGAUCUCACCACUGCACUCCAGCCUGGGUGACAGAGCGAGACUCCGUCUCAAAAAAAAAAAAAAAGUAAACAAACACUUGUUUUGACUUGUGGCAAAAUGAGUAACACCAGCCAAAAGGUCGGGAUGCCUAACAUCUACAGAUCAAGUGAUCUUGGGCAAGUAAAUAACUUCUCAAAUCCAAUUGCUCCAUCUAACGUAGAAAUACCUCGGCAAACUUCCUGAACUACCAGGAAGAACUAUUAGGACAGAGGGAGCAUCAACAUAUCUGUAGAUACCAAAUUUCGUGCUAGACUAUGUUUAAGACAGCUCAGACACGGGACAAUUAGGGGAGAUUGAAGGAAUGGGACGACUGUUUAGGGAGCACUGUCUACGGUAGGACAGGUCAUUCCUACACCCCAGAUGACACCUUCAAGCUCCCUCCUAUAAGCAACAUUUCCUAGGCCCCUGCCUAGUCUUCUCAAACUCACCUCUCCUUUCUGAAAGUUGGCCUAAACCUUCCAAAAGCACCAGUUGUUAAUAGCUAUUGAAUGAGCUAUUAUCAAUCAAAUACCGUGCAUUCUAGGGAGUAGGAUCAAUAACUGCUUGGGUCAUGCAAAACUAGGAUCUAUGCCUUUCUGUGAUUCUGCUCUGAAGCUCCAGUGAGAAGGUUCAGGCCAGAAGGGUGCUCUUUCAGAGGGGAGUCCUAUUUUCUGCUUCCAAGUGUGGAACGCCUAAUUUAUUGCAAAGACAACUGGGCCAUCACCCAGCACCCCAUCUUCCUCGUGGAACUCGUCCCUGGAAAACAGGCCGGGGUUGCCCUCUAUGCUGCCUAGAGGGCCUGCCUGCCGGGGCUGCCCGCUGUACGUCCUUCAGGCCUGGCUGGGAGGCUCAGCUGGCCCCGGGGCCCGCAUGCCGGGCCUGUCCACUGUCCUGCCUUCAGGGCUCGCCAGCCUGGGCUGCCCGCGGUCCUGUCUGCAGGGGCCGCCUGCCGGGAUUGCCCGCUCUCCUGCCUGCAGGCGCUGCUGGGAGGCUCAGCUGGCCCCGGGGCCUGCCUGCUGUCCUGCCUGCAUGGACCACCAGGCUGAGCUGCCCGCUGUCCUGCCUGCAGGGCCCGCCUGCCGGGGCUGCCCGCUGUGCAGCCUGCAAGGCCCACCUUCCGGGGUUGCCCUCUAAGCUGCCUACAGUGCCCGCCUGCCGGGGCUGCCUUCCGGGAUUGCCCGCUCUCCUGCCUGCAGGCCCUGCUGGGAGGCUCAGCUGGCUCAGCCUGCAGGGCCGGCCUGCCGGGGCUGCCCGCUGUACGUCCUCGAGUUCCGACUGGAAGGCUCAGCUGGCCCCAGGGCCCCAUGCGGGGCCUCUCCGCUGUCCCGCCUUCAGGGCUCGCCAGCCUCCGCUGCCCGCUGUCCUGUCUGCAGGGGCUGCCUUCCGGGAUUGCCCGCUCUCCUGCGUGCAGGCCCUGCUGGGAGGCUCAGCUGGCCCCGGGGACCGCCUGCCGGGUCUGCCCGCUGUGCUGCCUGCAUGGACCACCAGCCUGAGCUGCCCGCUCUCCUGCCUGCAGGCCCGGCUGGGAGGCUCAGCUGGCCCCGGGGACCGCCUGCCGGGUCUGCCCGCUCUCCUGCCUGCAGGGCCCGCCAGCCUGAGCUGCUCGCUGUCCUGCCUGCAGGGCCCGCCUGCCGGGGUUGCCCUCUAAGCUGCCUACAGGGCCGGCCUGCCGGGGCUGCCCGCUGUACGUCCUUCAGGCCCAGCUGGGAGGCUCAGCUGGCACUGGGGCCUGCAUGCCGGGCCUGUCUGCUGUCUGGUCUUCGUUUUUGGUUCUCUUCAUUUGGUUUAUAAAUUUGAGUUAAUAUUUGGAGCCAUUUUCUCAACCCAAUACAGCUUUGCUCCCAUGACCUCCUUCGUACUCUUAUUGGUGAACACAUUACAUUUAUAUAUGGUACAGGAAGAAGAAUGCAUUGUAUAUAUGCAGUUUUAUACAACUGCUUUCUACAUCGGUUAAGAGAAGAAAAUAGAAGAAUGUGCACUUAUACUGCCUUUUGUAGUUUCAUAUUUACCUUUUAUGGUGCCCUAUGUUUUUUGUGUGUGAUUUUGAUUUACUGUCUGGGAUCACUUGCUUCCAGCCUGAUGAAUUUCUCUUUUGAUUUCUUAUGAGGCAGAUAUUCCAGCGACAUAUUCUUUCAGUUUUGUUAAUCUGGGUGAUUCCAGCUCUUCAUAUAGCUGCUGCCUCACAGAAUUAGGAUGAGUAGUGGGAAGAACUGAGUGUGGGAAUGAAGCAGAUGGGACAGAGUCCAAGAACCCAAAAGCAAGGAGGAAGAGACAGUACCGGGGCAUGAAUAGCCUUGGAGGGUUCCUGACGCCAGCCUGCAGUUCCUGGAGCUCCAGCACCUCAUCCACAACAUUUGCGAAUGGACAAGGCAGGAGUGAGGAAGAAAGGUUUCAUCUUCAGAGAAGAGGUAUCAGUAGUGUAGGGGUGAAGGUGAUGGAAGAAACGGUUGUGGAACAAAAGGAAUAGAAAGCUCCCGGCAAGGAUGGAGGCAGCACUGUUUGUUGGACAACUGAAUUGGCCCAGGUGGCCCCUGCACUCUCAGGUACCUGAGACUCCACCCGCCUUGCCUUACUGUCCACAUUUACUCAUGGUGACAACCCCCGCCCCCAAAUUUCAUUUGAAUGACAUGCGCAGGUGCAUUUGCACUGAGAUCUUUAUUCUAGGCCUGGGGCCUUGGAGCAGUGGGCAAUUGCAACACAGGACAGAGAAGAGAGUAUUGUUUGUGUCCCUGUGAUCAGACACAUGCACACACUACACACACACACACACACACACACACACACACACACACAAGGACACGGGCACAGACAUGGGUAGUAAUGAGACCUAUUAAGUAUUUUCCCCUCCAGUAGGCAGAUGUGCAUGAUACAUAAAUUACAAAUAAGAGGAACCUUGUGAACACAUUUCAAAGGCAAGAUGAGUGAAUAUCGGUGACUUGUGGUUUUCAUGUAUUUUAUAAUUCAGUUCUUGGUAUAAAAUAUAUUUUAUAUUCCAACCUCGUAUACACCUAUACACUCUUGAAAAAUCGAAAGAAGAGUUUCACUGAAGAAAACUUAAUUUCACAAGGUGUGAUACUCUCUGAUGUUUUAUUUUACAUCAUAUACUAGUUCAAUUAAAAAAUAAAUUCAUUAAGCUCAUCAGAAUUGACUGUGCCUGCAAUUUCAAAAAUG
rnacentral:lncRNA from 1 species